rnacentral:tRNA from 1 species
AAAAAAUUAGUUAAUCCCAUAACAUUAGUUUGUCAAGCUAAAAUUAUCAAAAUUUAAUUGAUAUUUUUUA